AUUGAACGCUGGCUGCCCGCUUAACUCAUGCCAGUCAAGCGGAUACCACACGGAAUCUUGCUCCCUGAGUGACAAACGCCGGACGGGAGACUAAUGUCUGGUAAACUGCCUGAUGGAUGGCGAUAACUACUGUAAACUGUAACAUAAUACCUCAUACCCUCGCGUGACCCUACACGGGGACCUUCUGGCCUCUUGCCAUCAUAUGUGCCCUUAUGGGAUUAACUACUAGGUGGCGUAAUGGCUCUCCUAGGCGACCAUCCCUAGCUGGUCUGAAAGGAUGACCACUCCACUCUGGAACUGAGACCACGGUCUCUGACUCCUACGGGUAGAGCACAGCCGUGGAAUAUUGCGCCUUGGACUCCCGCCUGAUGCAACCCUGCCUCGUGUGUGACUAAGGACUUUCGGGAUGUAAAGCAGUUUCUUCGAGGUAGCGAACGUGGUGAACUUAUGACUCCUCCUCAUUGUGACGUUACUCGCACAAUAAUCUCCGGCUUAACUCCGUGCCACCAUACCUCCCUAAUACGGAGAGGUGCACAGCGUUAACUCCGAAUUACUGGGCGUAAAGCGCACGCAGGCGGUUUGUUAGUCAGAUGUGAAAUCCCCGGGCUCAAUCUGGGAACUGCAUUUGAAACUGGCAAGCUAGAGUCUCGUAGAGGGGGGUAGAAUUCCAGGUGUAGCGGUGAAAUGCGUAGAGAUCUGGAGGAAUACCGGUGGCGAAGGCGGCCCCCUGGGCGAAGACUGACGCUCAGGUGCGAAAGCGUGGGGAGCAAACAGGAUUAGAUACCCUGGUAGUCCACGCUGUAAACGAUGUCGAUUUGGAGGUUGUGCCCUUGAGGCGUGGCUUCCGGAGCUAACGCGUUAAAUCGACCGCCUGGGGAGUACGGCCGCAAGGUUAAAACUCAAAUGAAUUGACGGGGGCCCGCACAAGCGGUGGAGCAUGUGGUUUAAUUCGAUGCAACGCGAAGAACCUUACCUACUCUUGACAUCCAGAGAACUUUCCAGAGAUGGAUUGGUGCCUUCGGGAACUCUGAGACAGGUGCUGCAUGGCUGUCGUCAGCUCGUGUUGUGAAAUGUUGGGUUAAGUCCCGCAACGAGCGCAACCCUUAUCCUUUGUUGCCAGCGGUUCGGCCGGGAACUCAAAGGAGACUGCCAGUGAUAAACUGGAGGAAGGUGGGGAUGACGUCAAGUCAUCAUGGCCCUUACGAGUAGGGCUACACACGUGCUACAAUGGCAUAUACAAAGAGAAGCGACCUCGCGAGAGCAAGCGGACCUCAUAAAGUAUGUCGUAGUCCGGAUUGGAGUCUGCAACUCGACUCCAUGAAGUCGGAAUCGCUAGUAAUCGUAGAUCAGAAUGCUACGGUGAAUACGUUCCCGGGCCU
rnacentral:rRNA from 1 species